rnacentral:rRNA from 1 species
AAGCGCUUGCAACCAGACUCGCAUGCGGCUGAUCAUCCGGAGUUCUCUCUGGUGCACUCAGUCGUUUUCGGGCCAGCAUUGGUUUGGGCGGUGGGAUAAAAGCCUUAGGAAUGUAGCUUCUCUCGGGGAGUGUUAUAGCCCACCGUGUAAUACCCUGGGGGGGACUGAGGUUCGCGCAUCUGCAAGGAUGCUGGCGUAAUGGU